rnacentral:pre_miRNA from 10 species
UAGUUGUCUAUGUGUACCCUGUAGAACCGAAUUUGUGUUCAGUACAUAUCAUCGCAAAUACGUCUCUACAGGAAUACAUGGGCAACUGAA